rnacentral:lncRNA from 10 species
CAGGACUUGAAAUGUAGAUGUGGGAAUCAUACAAAAAUAAUUCAACCUUAGAAAUUCAGGGGCCUUGCCUUAGAGAUGUCUCUGAACAAUUUGGACCCUGACAAGAAGGGUCAAGGAGAAAUCGGAUACUCUUGUGAUUCCCCCAGUCAACCACUGUUCCAGUUGCUUAUCUGCUGAGACAGCAGUUCUUGACCCCAGCUACACAUUAAGCUUAAAAAAAAAAUUACUGUUGCUUGGACCCUAGCCCAACUUGUGAAUCAGAAUUUCUGGGGGUGGGUCCCAGCCACUGGUGUUUUUGAAAGUCUCCCUGGGUAAUUCUAAUGUAUAUUCAGUAUUGAGCCCCACUGGCCUGACACUUUCAUUCCCACUGAAACAGAAGUAAUCCACUACAGAGGAGAGAAGGUUGUUCCAUUCUAAGCCAUAGGAGUUUUUAGUUAUCAUAGCUCCAAACCCAUAGGAACUGGCGUGAGAGCAUUCUUACGUGGGUGAUGGAUGUAGGAGCUCCAGGAUGCCUUGGAACGUCUUGUCCCAGUAUGUUUCUGCUUGUACAGGUAUUCAAAAUGAGGGCCAAACCCUUCUUUGGAAUCCAACUCUGCUCUAGGCUAGUUGGCUGCCCCCAGACCAGGAUUUAGCACCAACAAACUGAGAAUGUGAUCAGAGGACUGGGGCCACUAACAUAACUGGAAAAGAAAAGCAGAAAAGCAUUCUCCCAACUCCUGUUCAAUUAAUUCAACAAAUAGCUGUGGCCAUGGCUGCAAAGGUACCAAGGUGCAAUGACUAAGAACUCUAGCUUUGGGGUCAGAUAGUCCUGCGUUCUCAUGCUGGCUCCACAAGGCCCACAAGCUGUGCACUCUGGGCAAGGUACCAUAUGAGCCUGAAGUUCCCAUCUCCCCCUAAGAAAAUCCCCAGAAAAGAGUUUUCUUGUAGUGAAGCCCUUACAACACCUGUCAUAUUAUAGGGUGCCCCCUCAAUUACUUUACUUGGAAAAAGAACUAUUUGCUUCAAAUGUACAUCACCUUAGAUGACCUCAAUUAAUGCAAGUUUGGGGUAUCUAUAGAGGCCAAAAACCAAACAAAAUCAGUUUUUUUAAGUGACAGAGAAAUUUUUCAAUUUUUAAGUGUAUGAGAAAUUCAUAACAUUUAUCAUAACUGUUUUAAGUGUUAAGUAUGUUUUCAUUGUUGUGAACUAGAUCUCCAGAUCUUGUAGAACUGAAACUGUGUACUCAUUAAAUAACUCCUUUUUGCCUCUUACUUCCAGCUCCUGGUAACCACCAUUCA